rnacentral:rRNA from 1 species
UACGUAGGGGGCAAGCGUUGUCUGGAAUUAUUGGGCGUAAAGAGCGCGUAGGCGGUCCGAUAAGUCGGCUGUGAAAGUCAGGGGCUCAACCCUUGAAAGCCGGCCGAUACUGUCGGACUAGAGUCCGGAAGAGGCAAGUGGAAUUCCCGGUGUAGCGGUGAAAUGCGCAGAUAUCGGGAGGAACACCAAUGGCGAAGGCAGCUUGCUGGGACGGUACUGACGCUGAGGCGCGAAAGCGUGGGGAGCAAACAGG